rnacentral:rRNA from 1 species
CUCGCCGAAUGCCUUAUGAUUAAGUUUGAUCAUGGCUCAGACUGCAGCUGUAACGGUAGUGCCUAACACAUGCAAGUCGAACGGCAGCACAGAGGCAGCUUGCUCCUUGGGUGGCGAGUGGCGUGACGUGGUGAGGAAUACAUCGGAAUCUACUCUGUCUGUGGGGUGAUAACGUAGGGAAACUUACAGCUAAUACCGCAUACUGACCUACGGGUGAAANGCAGGGUGAUCUUCUGGACCUUGCGCGAUUGAAUGAGCCGAUGUCGGAUUAGCUAGUUGGCAGGGGUAAAGUGCCCACCAAUNGCGACGAUCCGUAGCUGGUCUGAGAGGAUGAUCAGCCACACUGGAACUGAGACACGUGUCCAGACUCCUACGUGGAGUGCAAGCAGUGGGUANAUAUUUGGACAAUGGUGCUGCAAAGCCUGAUCCAGCCAUACCGCGUGGGUGAAUGAAGGCCUUCGGGUUGUACAAGCCCUUNUGUUUGGGAAACUGACAAUCCNAGACUGGCUAAUANCCGGAUUGGGAUGACGGUACCCCAAUAGAAANUCAGCANCCAGGGCUUAACUUUCGGUUGCCCAGCAGAGCACAGGCAGGUAAAUACACGAAAGNGGGUGC